CCCUUAGAUGUUCUGGGCCGCACGCGCGCUACACUGACGAAUGCAACGAGCUUAUAACCUUGGCCGAAAGGUCUGGGUAAUCUCCAAAUUUCGUCGUGAUGGGGAUAGAUUAUUGCAAUUAUUAAUCUUCAACGAGGAAUGCCUAGUAAGCGCAAGUCAUCAGCUUGCGUUGAUUACGUCCCUGCCCUUUGUACACACCGCCCGUCGCACCUACCGAUUGAAUGGUCCGGUGAAAUCUCGGGACGGCGGCUUGGUCGCUUGCGUCCGACUGCUGAAACUUGAUUAAACCAUAUCAUUUAGAGGAAGGUAAAGUCGUAACA
rnacentral:rRNA from 1 species